AAUAGAUACCCAGGUAGUCCACGCCGUAAACGAUGAGUGCUAAGUGUUGGGGGGUUUCCGCCCCUCAGUGCUGCAGCUAACGCAUUAAGCACUCCGCCUGGGGAGUACGGUCGCAAGACUGAAACUCAAAGGAAUUGACGGGGGCCCGCACAAGCGGUGGAGCAUGUGGUUUAAUUCGAAGCAACGCGAAGAACCUUACCAGGUCUUGACAUCCCGGUGACCACUAUGGAGACAUAGUUUCCCCUUCGGGGGCAACGGUGACAGGUGGUGCAUGGUUGUCGUCAGCUCGUGUCGUGAGAUGUUGGGUUAAGUCCCGCAACGAGCGCAACCCUUAUUCUUAGUUGCCAUCAUUCAGUUGGGCACUCUAAGGAGACUGCCGGUGAUAAACCGGAGGAAGGUGGGGAUGACGUCAAAUCAUCAUGCCCCUUAUGACCUGGGCUACACACGUGCUACAAUGGACGGUACAAACGGUUGCUAACCCGCGAGGGGGGUAGCUAAUCCGGAUAAAACCCGUUCUCAGUUCGGAUUGUAGGCUGCAACUCGCCUAC
rnacentral:rRNA from 1 species